rnacentral:rRNA from 1 species
GACGAACGCUGGCGGCGCGCCUAAAACAUGCAAGUCGAACGAGAAGCCCGGGCUUGCCCGGGUGGACAGUGGCGAACGGGUGAGUAACACGUGAGGAACCUGCCCCGAAGACCGGGACAACACCGGGAAACCGGUGCUAAUACCGGAUGCCUUCACCGGAUCGCAUGGUCUGGUGAAGAAAUGGAUUCCGCUUCGGGAUGGCCUCGCGGCCUAUCAGCUUGUUGGUGAGGUAACGGCUCACCAAGGCAACGACGGGUAGCUGGUCUGAGAGGAUGUCCAGCCACACUGGGACUGAGACACGGCCCAGACUCCUACGGGAGGCAGCAGUUAGGAAUCUUGCGCAAUGGACGAAAGUCUGACGCAGCGACGCCGCGUGCGGGAUGAAGGCCCUCGGGUUGUAAACCGCUUUCAGCAGGGACGAAAUUGACGGUACCUGCAGAAGAAGCCCCGGCCAACUACGUGCCAGCAGCCGCAGUAAAAC